ensembl:rRNA 5_8S_rRNA 5.8S ribosomal RNA
GACUCUUAGCGGUGGAUCACUCGGUGUGCAUUGAUGAAGAACGCAACUAGCUGCGAGAAUUAAUGUGAAUUGUAGUUAUAUAUUUAUUAUGAAAUAGCUUGUAGCAAAUAUUAUAUUUAAAAUCUGAAUUUUCAAAUAACAUACAUACACACACU